UUGAACGCUGGCGGCAGGCCUAACACAUGCAAGUCGAGCGGAUGAAGGGAGCUUGCUCCUGGAUUCAGCGGCGGACGGGUGAGUAAUGCCUAGGAAUCUGCCUGGUAGUGGGGGAUAACGUCCGGAAACGGGCGCUAAUACCGCAUACGUCCUGAGGGAGAAAGUGGGGGAUCUUCGGACCUCACGCUAUCAGAUGAGCCUAGGUCGGAUUAGCUAGUUGGUGGGGUAAAGGCCUACCAAGGCGACGAUCCGUAACUGGUCUGAGAGGAUGAUCAGUCACACUGGAACUGAGAAAAGGUCCAGACUCCUAAGGGAGGCAGGCGUGGGGAAUAUUGGAACAUGGGCGAAAGCCUGAUCCAGGCCAGGCGGGGGUGUGAAGAAAGGUUUCGGAAUGGAAAACCAUUUAAGUUGGGAGGAAGGGCAGUAAGUUAAUAACUUGCUUUUUUGACGUUAACAAAAGAAUAAGCACCGGCUAACUUCGUG
rnacentral:rRNA from 1 species